rnacentral:rRNA from 1 species
GCUACAGGCUUAACACAUGCAAGUCGAGGGGCAGCAUUUUAGUUUGCUUGCAAACUGAAGAUGGCGACCGGCGCACGGGUGAGUAACACGUAUCCAACCUGCCGAUAACUCCGGAAUAGCCUUUCGAAAGAAAGAUUAAUACCGGAUAGUAUACGAAUAUCGCAUGAUAUUUUUAUUAAAGAAUUUCGGUUAUCGAUGGGGAUGCGUUCCAUUAGUUUGUUGGCGGGGUAACGGCCCACCAAGACUACGAUGGAUAGGGGUUCUGAGAGGAAGGUCCCCCACAUUGGAACUGAGACACGGUCCAAACUCCUACGGGAGGCAGCAGUGAGGAAUAUUGGUCAAUGGGCGAGAGCCUGAACCAGCCAAGUAGCGUGAAGGAUGAAGGCUCUAUGGGUCGUAAACUUCUUUUAUAUGGGAAUAAAGUUUUCCACGUGUGGAAUUUUGUAUGUACCAUAUGAAUAAGGAUCGGCUAACUCCGUGCCAGCAGCCGCGGUAAUACGGAGGAUCCGAGCGUUAUCCGGAUUUAUUGGGUUUAAAGGGAGCGUAGGUGGAUUGUUAAGUCAGUUGUGAAAGUUUGCGGCUCAACCGUAAAAUUGCAGUUGAAACUGGCAGUCUUGAGUACAGUAGAGGUGGGCGGAAUUCGUGGUGUAGCGGUGAAAUGCUUAGAUAUCACGAAGAACUCCGAUUGCGAAGGCAGCUCACUAGACUGUCACUGACACUGAUGCUC